GUGGGGAAUAUUGGACAAUGGGCGCAAGCCUGAUCCAGCAAUGCCGCGUGGGUGAAGAAGGUCUUCGGAUCGUAAAGCCCUUUCGACAGGGACGAUGAUGACGGUACCUGUAGAAGAAGCCCCGGCUAACUUCGUGCCAGCAGCCGCGGUAAUACGAAGGGGGCUAGCGUUACUCGGAAUUACUGGGCGUAAAGGGCGCGUAGGCGGCGCUGUUAGUCAGGCGUGAAAUUCCUGGGCUUAACCUGGGGACUGCGCUUGAUACUGCAGGGCUUGAGGCCGAGAGAGAGUGGUGGAAUUCCCAGUGUAGAGGUGAAAUUCGUAGAUAUUGGGAAGAACACCGGUGGCGAAGGCGACCACCUGGCUCGGUUCUGACGCUGAGGCGCGACAGCGUGGGGAGCAAACAGGAUUAGAAACCCUGGUAGUCC
rnacentral:rRNA from 1 species